AGGAUAAUAGUUAAUCAUAACAUUUAAUUUGCAUUUAAAAAUUACUAAACUCUAGUUUAUCUUU
rnacentral:tRNA from 1 species